UUUGGCUGGCCAUUGCUGCCAGUAAGACGUUUGAACGGUUUCAUCAGAGCGAGGGAUGAAAGCAGAAACGGCGAAAGAGAAAUGUUCAGCACAGUUCCAAUUUGACGAGUCCGAGAUACACUGACACUCUCUUUCGUUCGACGCCACAAGGAUACCCCUGUUUGUCUGGACAAGAGCUGCCUGUACCACCGUGUCAAAAGGCUGUCCAACUACAUGGCAGGACGAAGACUGAGGUGUGCUGAUCUUCAGAAGCUUGCGGAACUGAGUGCUGCUGAACAUUUGCAUGGCCAUGAGCAAGGGUGAAGCUUGCUAUUGCACUCUCAGCAUGUGCUAGUAUUAUGCUGACCACUGCACUAUGUUACUCUCUUACACUACUACGUGUAUGUAAACGUGCGUGUACCCGUCCCUGUAUGCAUUCGUUUCGUAUAAUUAUUUGUUAUCCCUCUUGACUUUACGUGUAAAUGGGUGGACGUUUGUAUGGCUGUUGGAGUUGCGCGUGUAUUGUGUCUCUACUCUUUUCUUGGUGUUUUCUUGGCGUUGUGUAAGUUUGUGUGUGUGUGUGUGUGUGUGUGUGUGUGCGCGCGCGCAAUAAUUUGAAAACAAAUAAUUAAUCCUGGGCUCUCCAUUAUUCUAUUUCGAUUCUUGUUUUUUUCUAGGUAUUUUCUUGGCGUUGUGUGGGUGUGUGCAUGUGUGUGUGCGUGCACAAUAAUUUGGCAACACUACAUGAUUGAGAUAUUUUAAUUUGCAGCGUCUGCGAAGAGACCACUUGAUUUGAGGAUGGUGUUUGUAGGCUUUUUCAUGUAAUGAAGUGGCUGCAGCGGCGCCUCAAUACAUAUUUUUUUCUUGAGAAGUGAAUGAUGUAAAGGAUUAAAGGGAGAGGCCGUUUUCUGGUUAA